UACGAAGGGGGCUAGCGUUGCUCGGAAUCACUGGGCGUAAAGCGCACGUAGGCGGAUUGUUAAGUCAGGGGUGAAAUCCUGGAGCUCAACUCCAGAACUGCCUUUGAUACUGGCGAUCUUGAGUCCGGGAGAGGUGAGUGGAACUGCGAGUGUAGAGGUGAAAUUCGUAGAUAUUGGGAAGAACACCGGUGGCGAAGGCGGCGACCUGGUCCUUGACUGACGCUGAGGCGCGAAAGCGUGGGGAGCAAACAGG
rnacentral:rRNA from 1 species